CUCCGUCGAAGAACCACUCUCCACAAAGAACAAUGCCGCUACCCACAAUACAGACAGAUACAGGUUAGUGAGCACAUGGAAAGGUUAGUACAUAUUUAAAAC